GGCAGACAUUGGCUGGUUUAUGUCUUCUUGACGGAUUCUUGACGGGGUAAAGACGCAAAGUUGAACAACGUGUAUUAUUUAGAAGAGCAGCUCGCAAGUUCUUUUCAGCGCCAUCGGCUCUGCACACCAUUCUGAGCACAGGUGUAUCUGGAGGGAAAAAAUCGAGCUGCCAAAACUCCAAAAGCCCCCAACCAUUGGAGAAUGUUCAGUCGCAGGGCAGAAACAGCCAGUUCUUAUGAAGCUUCUGAAGACCAUCAACCUGGUGAGGGCGGUGGUGGAGGUUGUUGAAGGAGGGGAUUGAUCAUUCAAAUCAUUCAAGCUGGCACCACAUCAGAACAGCAGGGAUGGGUGGAGGCUAUAUGUGAAGCACAGCUGAGCUCCAGGGACCAUGCUACUAAUGCAUGUGUUGUGCAAUAGACCUAUUGGAUUUGACAUAGAUUGUUUUACACCUUUAUACUCAAGUGGGCCUACUGGACUGUGGCAAUGUGUGAUUUUUGUGUGUGAAAGUUUUGCCAAAAGGAGGCAUGGCAUUAAUAUGAUAUUUUAGGCUUGUGUUUGCUUAAGUCAUGCCCUCAGUCUUCGAAUAUCAUCAGUGCUGCUGAAACAACUUGAAUUGGGUUUUUCACUAGUCUACUUUUCACAUUACAUCCACCUGUUAUCAUUAUUUGCUUUCAGUUGAAUUCCAUUCUUCAAAGAGCAAUAAUACCUUACUAGAUAUUGGUAGGAAUCUACUUUGGCAGGAUUCGUGCAUUUCAUGCUACAAGAAAGGAACCCAGUAGCCUAUGUAAUCCUUUGUUCUUUGACUCCGCAGUAGAACCAUUUCCUGUGCUACGUGCAUAAUACAUAUUGUUUCCGACCCCAACCCCCUUUUAUCUCCAUCUGUAUACAUUUGCACAGCGGUGCCACUGGACCUGGCCAGAAUGUAUUGUAAAUAUUGACAGUUAGUUGCCAUGGUACUGUAUAAUUCUCUUUCACAGGAAUCCUGAUACUAAAGCAUUGGCCUAAUGGUCCAUAGAUGUGUGUGUGUGUGUGUGUGUGAGUGUGAGUGUGAG